rnacentral:lncRNA from 1 species
AUCAAAACAACAACAACAACAACAACAACAACAACAACAACAACAACAAAAACCAAACCAAACCAAACCAGAACAAGGAGCUAAGGUAAUGGAGAAUAAAAUCCACUCAGGGAUAAGCUGUGUCUGUGGGCUCUUGAAGCUGUGGAGAGAAACAUUGAAAGUUUAAGGCUUAGAAGAUGUGUUUUCUAUUCAGAGUUCAUUUUUCUCUUAGAGAAUGUCUUACUGUGAGUCUUAUGAUCAAAGAAAUUGUAGAUGGAGAGCCAAGAACUCAGUGUCUGAGUUUCAGACACGUACACAGGUUGUGGAUGUGGAAAGAGGAGGGACAAUAUUACUCCAGAAAGUUCUAAGUAAUUGUAGUACCAUAAUUAUUUCCAGAAGCACAUUUCUCUUGUUAGGUCAUUUGCUUUUGAGUUGUAGUGCAGAAACAUGGGCCAUUUUAUGUGCUGGGCAAGUGUUUUUGAGUUACAUCUCUAUCUCCACCCCAAAGAGAACAUUUGAAAGCUGUGUUUGUGGAUAUGAAAGGAUCAAAGGAGUUUUGUGGGCCACACCAACGUAUCUUGCUGUCUUCAGCUUCUGUCUGUCCUUCUUUAGUCGAUGAUAAAUAUGAUCAAGUUUAAGAGACAAAGGAAUUAGGCUGAUGCUAGUCUUUAUCACACUUUAUUUUUUUUCUCCCCAUAGAAUCAGUUUCUAUUUUUUUUCCAGUAAUGGUAAACACAACCUCUCUAGUGUCUUUUUAUUAGAACUCAAGUUAGUCUGCUAUCAGUCGCCUAAAUUAAGCUAUUGCAUUUUAGUCAGUCUUCUUGGCGUGCUAAAAAAAAAAAAAAAAAAAAUCAG